rnacentral:rRNA from 1 species
CCCUUAGAUGUUCUGGGCCGCACGCGUGCUACACUGAGUGGAUCAGCGGGUCAGGUUGCGCGAAAGCGUUUCCUAAUCUUUAAAUCCGCUCGUGAUGGGGAUUGACGGUUGCAAUUUUCUGUCAUGAACGAGGAAUACCUUGUAAGCGCGGGUCAUCAUCCCGCGCUGAAUACGUCCCGCCCUUUGUACACACCGCCCGUCGCUCCUACCGAUUGAGUGGUCCGGUGAGGCUUUGGGAUCUGAGCGGAGAGAGCGUUUCGCUGUUUCUGCUCGGAAAACUCAGUCGAACCUUAUCAUUUAGAGGAAGGAGAAGUCGUAACA